CGGCGAGCGCCGGCACAGACAGGGUCCAUACUUGUAUAUUUUAACUAUCUUGUUACAAAUAACUACAAACUUGACAUUGGCUAAUCUUUGUAAAGCCAGACGAGAGAGGAAAAAAAAAGUACUUUUAAGUGUCAUUGCAUUUGCCUAGUAGUUUUUCGGAUUUUAGUUAUUAUAAUAUAACUUCUAAAUACUCUUUUAAGGUUAAGUUUCUCCAAAAUCGCCUAUACUGAAUGCCAAAAAUCAUUCACUUAUAUUUAGGAUUUAGUUUAUAGUACCAUUUUACUUCUGGGUGUGCACCAGUGUUGCCAACUCUUUAAAACCGUUUGUUGCUAUGAGGCCUUCGAAAAGUCGCUAGAUGUUGCCAGAUGUAGAAAAAGUUCUGGAAAUCAGAAUAGAAAACCAAUAGAAAAUAGAAACCAGACCAACCAGAAUAGAAAAACAAAUGAAAUGACGAUUUUUUUUUUUCAUAAAAUCAAACUUUAUUGCAUUUUCAUAUUCUCAAAUAUGAACAUCAAGGAACUGACUUUUAGAAGCAAGUCCUAAUUCUGAGGUACAAGUAAUCUGUAACACCUUGACAUUUCAUGGGUAAUUUUUUUUUUACCAAAUCACAAAAGUCGCUAAAUAUUUUUUAAUUGGUAAAAGUGAAAAAAGUACACAGAUAUGAACAUAUAUAAGUAUGCUAGAGACGUUGUAGUGUACAGAAUGACAGUUAUUUUUAAUCCAUUGAAGGUUUCCUUUCAAAAAUGUUUUUAAUAUCACUCAGUAAAGCAGCAAUGUAGAACCAAGCAAUGUCAAAUGAGCUCGAAGGCUAUUAUUGCUAUCGGGGUAUAAUUGUGCUCCCAAAUAUAAAUUGAUGUGACUAAAAUUCAAGCCGUCCUAUUCUGUACAAAGAGCAUUUUGAUAAAAAUUACACUUUUUUUUGUCUUUCUAGUAGUAGUAGUUGAUUUCUUUGUCCCUACUACAAAAAAAUUGUCAUAUCUAUUCAUCUAUGUUUAAGAAGUACCUUUUUACUAUAUCAAAUUGAUUUUUGAAAGAAUACAUACAUUUACAUAUUAUUUAUUUACUAUUGGAACUAUUGUCUGCGGAGGACAAAAUGGAUCAACUGCAUUACAUAUCGCAUACGAUGGACUUAUAUACGGCAAAACAUCGUAGUAAAAGAUGAGGGACUUUUGUCCUUCGCGGACAAUAGUCCGUCGUCUGCGCAGGCCCUUAUUAGUAAGACUUAAAAUAAAGUACAGGAAAACAAUAACAAAUUGUAAAGAAAUUAAAACAAAAACAACUGUUUGACGAAAAUAACUAUUAAUCACUUUUGCAGAAGCCUACGCAUCCUUAAACAAUGAAAAUUACAAAUAUAUUAUGCAUAUUAUAUGAAAAAAUUACCAUACCUCUACGCAAUGGUGCACCU